AGUCAAGUGAAUAAGUGCAUCAGGCGGAUGCCUUGGCGAUGAUAGGCGACGAAGGACGUGUAAGCCUGCGAAAAGCGCGGGGGAGCUGGCAAUAAAGCUAUGAUUCCGCGAUGUCCGAAUGGGGAAACCCACUGCAUUCUGUGCAGUAUCCUAAGUUGAAUACAUAGGCUUAGAGAAGCGAACCCGGAGAACUGAACCAUCUAAGUACCCGGAGGAAAAGAAAUCAACCGAGAUUCCGCAAGUAGUGGCGAGCGAACGCGGAGGAGCCUGUACGUAAUAACUGUCGAGAUAGAAGAACAAGCUGGGAAGCUUGACCAUAGCGGGUGACAGUCCCGUAUUCGAAAUCUCAACAGCGGUACUAAGCGUACGAAAAGUAGGGCGGGACACGUGAAAUCCUGUCUGAAUAUGGGGGGACCAUCCUCCAAGGCUAAAUACUCAUCAUCGACCGAUAGUGAACCAGUACCGUGAGGGAAAGGCGAAAAGAACCCCGGGAGGGGAGUGAAACAGAACCUGAAACCUGAUGCAUACAAACAGUGGGAGCGCCCUAGUGGUGUGACUGCGUACCUUUUGUAUAAUGGGUCAACGACUUACAUUCAGUAGCGAGCUUAACCGGAUAGGGGAGGCGUAGGGAAACCGAGUCUUAAUAGGGCGAUGAGUUGCUGGGUGUAGACCCGAAACCGAGUGAUCUAUCCAUGGCCAGGUUGAAGGUGCCGUAACAGGUACUGGAGGACCGAACCCACGCAUGUUGCAAAAUGCGGGGAUGAGCUGUGGGUAGGGGUGAAAGGCUAAACAAACUCGGAGAUAGCUGGUUCUCCCCGAAAACUAUUUAGGUAGUGCCUCGAGCAAGACACUGAUGGGGGUAAAGCACUGUUAUGGCUAGGGGGUUAUUGCAACUUACCAACCCAUGGCAAACUCAGAAUACCAUCAAGUGGUUCCUCGGGAGACAGACAGCGGGUGCUAACGUCCGUUGUCAAGAGGGAAACAACCCAGACCGCCGGCUAAGGUCCCAAAUGAUAGAUUAAGUGGUAAACGAAGUGGGAAGGCACAGACAGCCAGGAUGUUGGCUUAGAAGCAGCCAUCAUUUAAAGAAAGCGUAAUAGCUCACUGGUCGAGUCGUCCUGCGCGGAAGAUGUAACGGGGCUCAAAUCUAUAACCGAAGCUGCGGAUGCCGGUUUACCGGCAUGGUAGGGGAGCGUUCUGUAGGCUGAUGAAGGUGCAUUGUAAAGUGUGCUGGAGGUAUCAGAAGUGCGAAUGUUGACAUGAGUAGCGAUAAAGCGGGUGAAAAGCCCGCUCGCCGAAAGCCCAAGGUUUCCUACGCAACGUUCAUCGGCGUAGGGUAAGUCGGCCCCUAAGGCGAGGCAGAAAUGCGUAGUCGAUGGGAAACAGGUUAAUAUUCCUGUACUUGAUUCAAAUGCGAUGUGGGGACGGAGAAGGUUAGGUUGGCAAGCUGUUGGAAUAGCUUGUUUAAGCCGGUAGGUGGAAGACUUAGGCAAAUCCGGGUUUUCUUAACACCGAGAAGUGAUGACGAGUGUCUACGGACACGAAGCAACCGAUACCACGCUUCCAGGAAAAGCCACUAAGCUUCAGUUUGAAUCGAACCGUACCGCAAACCGACACAGGUGGGCAGGAUGAGAAUUCUAAGGCGCUUGAGAGAACUCGGGAGAAGGAACUCGGCAAAUUGAUACCGUAACUUCGGGAGAAGGUAUGCCCUCUAAGGUUAAGGACUUGCUCCGUAAGCCCCGGAGGGUCGCAGAGAAUAGGUGGCUGCGACUGUUUAUUAAAAACACAGCACUCUGCCAACACGAAAGUGGACGUAUAGGGUGUGACGCCUGCCCGGUGCCGGAAGGUUAAUUGAAGAUGUGCAAGCAUCGGAUCGAAGCCCCGGUAAACGGCGGCCGUAACUAUAACGGUCCUAAGGUAGCGAAAUUCCUUGUCGGGUAAGUUCCGACCCGCACGAAUGGCGUAACGAUGGCCACACUGUCUCCUCCCGAGACUCAGCGAAGUUGAAGUGGUUGUGAAGAUGCAAUCUACCCGCUGCUAGACGGAAAGACCCCGUGAACCUUUACUGUAGCUUUGUAUUGGACUUUGAAGUCACUUGUGUAGGAUAGGUGGGAGGCUUGGAAGCAGAGACGCCAGUCUCUGUGGAGUCGUCCUUGAAAUACCACCCUGGUGUCUUUGAGGUUCUAACCCAGACCCGUCAUCCGGGUCGGGGACCGUGCAUGGUAGGCAGUUUGACUGGGGCGGUCUCCUCCCAAAGCGUAACGGAGGAGUUCGAAGGUUACCUAGGUCCGGUCGGAAAUCGGACUGAUAGUGCAAUGGCAAAAGGUAGCUUAACUGCGAGACCGACAAGUCGGGCAGGUGCGAAAGCAGGACAUAGUGAUCCGGUGGUUCUGUAUGGAAGGGCCAUCGCUCAACGGAUAAAAGGUACUCCGGGGAUAACAGGCUGAUUCCGCCCAAGAGUUCAUAUCGACGGCGGAGUUUGGCACCUCGAUGUCGGCUCAUCACAUCCUGGGGCUGUAGUCGGUCCCAAGGGUAUGGCUGUUCGCCAUUUAAAGUGGUACGUGAGCUGGGUUUAAAACGUCGUGAGACAGUUUGGUCCCUAUCUGCAGUGGGCGUUGGAAGUUUGACGGGGGCUGCUCCUAGUACGAGAGGACCGGAGUGGACGAACCUCUGGUGUACCGGUUGUAACGCCAGUUGCAUAGCCGGGUAGCUAAGUUCGGAAGAGAUAAGCGCUGAAAGCAUCUAAGCGCGAAACUCGCCUGAAGAUGAGACUUCCCUUGCGGUUUAACCGCACUAAAGGGUCGUUCGAGACCAGGACGUUGAUAGGUGGGGUGUGGAAGCGCGGUAACGCGUGAAGCUAACCCAUACUAAUUGCCCGUGAGGCUUGACUCU
rnacentral:rRNA from 1 species